rnacentral:rRNA from 1 species
UACGAAGGGGGCUAGCGUUGUUCGGAAUUACUGGGCGUAAAGGGCGCGUAGGCAGCGUGUCAAGUCAGGCGUGAAAGCCCCGGGCUCAACCUGGGAACCGCGCUUGAGACUGGCAUGCUCGAGUUCGGGAGAGGAUGGUGGAAUUCCCAGUGUAGAGGUGAAAUUCGUAGAUAUCUGGAGGAACACCGGUGGCGAAGGCGGCAUCCUGGACCGACACUGACGCUGAGGAGCGAAAGCCAGGGGAGCAAACGGG